GUACACGCUGUGACUAGCAUAUCAAUAAGCGGAGGAAAAGAAACUAACAAGGAUUCCCCUAGUAACGGCGAGUGAAGCGGGAAGAGCUCAAAUUUGAAAUCUUAAAGGGUUUCCCUUUACGAAUUGUAGUUUAAAGAAGUGUUUUCUGUUGAGGUUUUGGUAAAAGUUCUUUGGAAUAGGACAUCAUAGAGGGUGAGAAUCCCGUAUUUGACCUUUACUUUCAACUUUGUGAUACACUUUCAAAGAGUCGGAUUGUUUGGGAAUGCAGUCCAAAAUGGGUGGUAAAUUUCAUCUAAAGCUAAAUAUUGGCGAGAGACCGAUAGCGAACAAGUACCGUGAGGGAAAGAUGAAAAGAACUUUGAAAAGAGAGUUAAACAGUACGUGAAAUUGUCAAAAGGGAAGCGUUUGACACCAGUGUUGUUUUUCUGAAAAUCAAUUAAAGAACUGUUUAUGCUAAGCUGUUUAGACUUUAUCAGCUAUCUGUUUAGUUUUGAGCUUUUCUUUAAUGCACUUUUAGUUAACAAGUCAACAUCAAUUUCUUUUGCUGUAAAAAAGCUUGAGGAAGGUGGCUUGAGAUUCGUCUUAAGUGUUUAUAGCCUCUUGCCUAUGCAGUCGGAGAGAUUGAGGUCUGCAGCGUAGAUCCUUCGGGGCUAAAUGCAUUUGUGCUAAGUUAUAGCAUUUUAUAGACAACUUGUUGACUAUGAUUUGUCUUGUAGCUUACUCGCUUAUGUUAUUUUACCUACGCUUAGGAUGUUGAAGAUGUAGCACAUCAU
rnacentral:rRNA from 1 species